rnacentral:rRNA from 1 species
UAAGACGAGGGAUCCUAGCGUUGUUCGGAAUUAUUGGGCGUAAAGCGGGUGUAGGUGGCUUUGUAAGUCGGGUGUGAAAGCCCAGGGCUCAACCCUGGAAGUGCAUUCGAUACUGCGAAGCUUGAGUGUGGGAGAGGCUAUUGGAAUACCUGGUGUAGUGGUGAAAUACGUAGAUAUCAGGUGGAACACCGGAGGCGAAAGCGGAUAGCUGGCCCAACACUGACACUGAGACCCGAAAGCGUGGGGAUCAAACAGG